GACGAACGCUGGCGGCGUGCCUAAUACAUGCAAGUAGAACGCACAGUUUAUACCGUAGCUUGCUACACCAUAAACUGUGAGUUGCGAACGGGUGAGUAACGCGUAGGUAACCUGCCUGGUAGCGGGGGAUAACUAUUGGAAACGAUGGCUAAUACCGCAUAAUAUUGAUUAUUGCAUGAUAAUUGAUUGAAAGAUGCUAUUGCAUCACUACCAGAUGGACUUGCGUUGUAUUAGCUAGUAGGUGAGGUAACGGCUCACCUAGGCGACGAUACAUAGCCGACCUGAGAGGGUGAUCGGCCACACUGGGACUGAGACACGGCCCAGACUCCUACGGGAGGCAGCAGUAGGGAAUCUUCGGCAAUGGACGAAAGUCUGACCGAGCAACGCCGCGUGAGUGAAGAAGGUUUUCGGAUCGUAAAGCUCUGUUGUAAGAGAAGAACGGGUGUGAGAGUGGAAAGUUCACACUGUGACGGUAUCUUACCAGAAAGGGACGGCUAACUACGUG
rnacentral:rRNA from 1 species